UACACUAAAAUAUGACAUUCCCUCCCAUAUUAUUAACACUGCUAAUUAUAUUCUCUCCAAUAUAUUUUAUUUCCUUCCAUUUCUAAUUACCCAAAAAAAAUUACAAAACAUAAUAACAUUGGGGUAAAAUGUUGCCCAGGGUUUAUCCUCAUCCGAGAAUUAGAGAAUUGGGGAAUUAAUCAUCAAUUUAUUUUAUAACUUUUGAUGUUGCAUGGGGUUUAUUCAUCCGUGAAUUAGAGAAAUUGGGGGAUUGAAGCAAAUAUUCAUCCGCAAAUUGGUUUAGAGAAAUUGGGGAAUUGAACCAAAUAUUCAUCCAUUAAUUGGUGUAUUUUUACAUGUUUGGAUGCAAUUGAGAAUUGAGGAAUUGGAUGCAAAUAUUCAUCCGUAAAAUCUCAUCCAAGAGGGGAAUUAGAUGUUCUUGAAAGUAAAGUUGUUAAAAGUUAAGUGGAGGGAUUGAAGCAAAUAUUCAUCCACAAAUUGGUUUAGAUAAAUUGGGAAAUUGAACCAAAUAUUCAUCCACAAAUUGGUGUACUUUUACAUGUUUGGAUGCAAUUUAGAAUCGGGGAAUUGGAUGCAAAUAUUCAUCCGCAAAAUCUCAUGCAAGAUUAGAUGUUCUUGAAAGUAAAGUUGUUUGAAGUUAAGUGGAAGAAUGUGUUAGUUUAUAUGUUUCGGGAAAGCUAUCAGAGAAGUCAGUUGAGGUGGUUAUGAAGUUGUUAAAGAAUAUCGGGAAGGAGCCGAUGAAUGAUAAGUUUAGGAAAAUAAGGAUAGGGAAUUUGAAGAUUAAGGAGGCUAUAGGUGAUGUUGUAGGUGGAGUGGAGUUAUUAGAAUUUGUUGGAUUUAAGUUGAAAGAAGAAGGUGGCAAAAUUUGUGCUGUGGUGGAUGUUCCUUCUGAAGAACAACUUGUUGUACUUAGGAAUGUGGUUUCACUUUUGGAGCCAAAUAAGGUUGAGGAGUUGGCAUCAGCAUCCCAAAUUAAGGAGAGUGAACCAAUUGAGCCGAAGAAGAUCGGUAGACAGGUAGAAUUCGGAUUAUGCUGAAGAAGAUCGAUAGAUAGCAUCGCAACAAAAAUUGUGAAAAAGCCGCAAUAAAGAAGUACGCAAAAUCCAUUAUCCGAAUACAGUUUCCAGAUGGAGUGUUGCUUCAAGGUGUCUUUCUACGUUCUAUGUCAACUAGUGCUCUUUAUGAGGUUUGUACUUUACUUAUUGUAAGUGUACUUUACUUUUACUUUACUUAUUAUUCUUGUUUCCUUUAUCUUUAUGGUUGAAGAGGGCCCUUGGUGUAACCAGUAAAGUUAUUGUCAAAUGUGACCUGAAGGUUAUGAGUAAGAGUCAAAUUAGUAAAAUCCAAAUUGGUAAGAACUUUAUGUAUUCUUUUUAAGGAACUUAUGUUAGCUUUAAAAGUAAAGAUUCAUUUAUUUUCAAAUGACUUUUUCUUCCCUGCGUAAAGGCAUUAUUUCAUCAAAUGACUUUAAGGUUAUUAUUUCAUUUUCCAAAUUUAUUAUAAGCAUAGACUUAAACUUGUCAUAUGAAAAGUUGAAAGUAAAGAAUUGUUUUACUAGAAAAGAGACUUUUUAAACCAAAAAUACACAAAAUGAUAGUAAGACAAACAAAUUAAAAUAAAAAGCAUAUAUUAAAGUGAAUUGAGAGGUUUCUAUUAUUGUGUGUAGACUUAAUUUGAUAGAACAAAAUUAUUUAUACUAAGUAUUAGGUGAAAUUCUAUUCAUUUGUCCAAGCCUUGUUGAUAGGAGGUAGCUUGUAAAAUUAACCAAAGUAUUAGUCGAAUUGCGAAGGGGAGCCUUGGAGUAACUGGUAAAGUUGCUGCCACGCGACUAGGAGGUCACGGGUUCAAGCCUUGGAAAUAGCCUCUUGCAGAAAUGCAAGGUAAGGAUGCAUAUGAUACACCCUUGUGGUGGGGCCCUUCCCCGGACACCGCACAUCGCGGUAGCUUUAGCUGCCCUUUAUUAGUCGAAUUUCAUAGAAGUUGAUCCGAACAUGACGAUUCAAAAUGCUAGGUAGGUAGUUAUGGGCUAGAAUAAUAGGAAAUUGCAUUAUGGCCAAUAUACAAAAUAAUUCUAAGAUGGAGCCAAACCUGUAAUCUUCUUGAUUGUAUAUACUAUAUAGUAAUAAAAGAAUAAAGAUGGGAAAAGUAUGAAGAUAGAGAGUGAUGGGAGAAUCCAACAGAAACAAAGGGAAUUUUGUGUGAGAGAGAUAGAAAGAUUGUUGCAAACCAAGUAUGAAAAGUGAAGUUGAUAAAUAUGUAGGGUAAUAAAAUUCCCUUUUUGUAACUUCUUUAAAGAAGAUGAGCCUUUUUGGACAAUUUAAUUGCAUCCAACUUAUCCACAAACUGCUUUUUAUCUGUGUUAUCACUAUAUCAUUAUGUUUUCUAUUGUUUGGUGCAGCAUUCCAUUCCUGGAGCUCCAAAUAUGAUAUAUAACAACUCUCCAAAGUGCAACAGUGACUUCCUUCUGGAACCUAUUGUAUUGUUUCCUCUUAAUUUUCCCUAUGACUUGUUUUGAAUUGCCUGUGGAAAUAUUAAUAAUGGACCAUUGUGUAAUUUUUGUUUCACUCCUAAUCCACACACUAGUAUCAAAGAGAUGGCUAUGUGUCUCUACGACCAAAUCAUCUCAUAGUCAAUAAGUAGCCUCCUCCAUUGGAAUCCGAAUUGUGCUUAGUCUUUCCUUAGUCAGUAGUUCGUCUAGUACUGCAAGCCAUAGUAUAAAAUAUCAAUCUAUGCUUGGGUUUAGCUAAUCUGGUCCAUAUCAGCAGCAACUCUGAGCCUACUCUGCACCCCUGAUAGAGCAUUAUAGCUCUUACUUAUUGACUAUUAUUCUCCUGGAUCAAGAAGAUAGUUACCUUGACAAUACCAUGCCUGCAUAUAUCCACUUUUAAAGAGUUCACCCUCUUUCUGUACCAUUUGGAAUCAAGUGGAGGAGUAUGAGUCCAUAUACUAACAGGGCUCAUGUCACUAAUGUUCUUGAAAUAAGCUAGACUGUAGUAACGUGGGAAUGCAUGAAAAAGCAAAGGUACUUAAGUUGGUAUGAGGUGAGAUUGGAAGGUGAGGGCUUUUUGAAUGAGGUAAAGGCUGUCUUUGGGAACAAAAAGUGCAAUCCCUUGUUCUAUACUUUUAGCUUGGGUUUGGAAAGUCUCAAUAACUUUAGUCCAUUCGGGAUAGUUAAGGAACGUGUGGAAAGGGCCAGCAAUAGAGAGUAAGUCCAUCAAGUUUGUGUAUUCAAGAAUUCAUGCCGGUGCUAGAGCGAAUGGAGCUCCAUUCGUUCUUUCUUUCGUGACUACAGUUGACCAUUGAAGGACUAGCAGUAGACUUUUUUUUAUAAAGAAAAAAAAAGUAGACUAUAGUGGUAGACUACUAAGCAGAAGGUUUGCAUCAUUAGCAAAAAUUAGCUCAGAGUUUGCAUUUUUAGCUAAAACUAAGAACAAAAUGACUUAAGAAUUAGCAAUGUAGCAUUUUCUUCAUUUGAACUGGAGAUUUCCUUUCCCAUUAAACAACAGAUUUCAUCUCCUAACAGCUAUUAUUUUGUUACUCAAUUAGUGCAAAACAAUCCUGGGUUGAAUGUUCAAGAUAUACCAAGGAGUGCCAGAUCUAACAUUCCUUUACCUGAUGCAAGUAAUGCACAAGCUUUAAGAGGGAAAAUUCUUCCGGCUCAACUCAUGCUUGGGUUCAUGAAAAAGAAAACUGCGGGUGGUCAAAUUUUAAAGGACGCCACCACAAGUGAUCAAGUUGAUCUAGAUUGAAGCGAAUUAUGAACUUUUUGGGCUAUUAUGAUAUAUGUUUAAAUACAUUUAAUUUUAUGUGGAACUUAGUAAAAAUCUUUAAAAUAUUAUUUUCUAAUUAGUAUGUGUAGUAAAAGACUUGUUUUUCGAAGUUCAUUGAAAAUCUAUGCAUUUGAAUUAUUUAUUAUCUAGUUGGUAUGUGAGAUUAUAUAUAUGUAAUGCGAUUAACGAUGUAUACACAUUCAGAUUAAAAUAAUUAUUUUUUAGGU